ACUGGAACUGAGACACGGUCCAGACACCUACGGGUGGCAGCAGUCGAGAAUUUUUCACAAUGGGCGAAAGCCUGAUGGAGCGACGCCGCGUGGGGGAUGAAGGGCUUCGGCUCGUAAACCCCUGUCAUUCGCGAACAAAGGUGCCGGCCUAAUAUGCCGUCGUCUGAUAGUAGCGGAAGAGGAAGGGACGGCUAACUCUGUGCCAGCAGCCGCGGUAAUACAGAGGUCCCAAGCGUUGUUCGGAUUCACUGGGCGUAAAGGGUGCGUAGGUGGCAGGCUAAGUCGGGUGUGAAAUCUCCGGGCUCAACCCGGAGGGUGCGCUCGAAACUGGUUUGCUAGAGGAUGGGAGGGGAGACUGGAAUUCUCGGUGUAGCAGUGAAAUGCGUAGAUAUCGAGAGGAACACCGGUGGCGAAGGC
rnacentral:rRNA from 1 species